rnacentral:rRNA from 1 species
AUUGAACGCUGGCGGCAGGCCUAACACAUGCAAGUCGAGCGGAUGAAGGGAGCUUGCUCCUGGAUUCAGCGGCGGACGGGUGAGUAAUGCCUAGGAAUCUGCCUGGUAGUGGGGGAUAACGUCCGGAAACGGGCGCUAAUACCGCAUACGUCCUGAGGGAGAAAGUGGGGGAUCUUCGGACCUCACGCUAUCAGAUGAGCCUAGGUCGGAUUAGCUAGUUGGUGGGGUAAAGGCCUACCAAGGCGACGAUCCGUAACUGGUCUGAGAGGAUGAUCAGUCACACUGGAACUGAGACACGGUCCAGACUCCUACGGGAGGCAGCAGUGGGGAAUAUUGGACAAUGGGCGAAAGCCUGAUCCAGCAAUGCCGCGUGUGUGAAGAAGGUCUGCGGAUUGUAAAGCACUUUAAGUUGGGAGGAAGGGCAGUAAGUUAAUACCUUGCUGUUUGGACGUUACCAACAGAAUAAGCACCGGCUAACUUCGU